GAGGGUAUAGCUCAAGUGGCAGAGCACAUGCUUAGCAUGCAUGAGGUCCUGGGUUCAACCCCCAGUACCUUCU
rnacentral:tRNA from 1 species